rnacentral:rRNA from 1 species
UACGAAGGGGGCGAGCGUUGUUCGGAUUUACUGGGCGUAAAGGGCGCGCAGGCGGCUUAUUUUGUCAGGCGUGAAAGCCCCGGGCUUAACUUGGGAACUGCGUUUGAUACGGAUGGGCUAGAGUUCGGGAGAGGAGAGUGGAAUUCCCAGUGUAGAGGUGAAAUUCGUAGAUAUUGGGAAGAACACCGGUGGCGAAGGCGGCGAGCUGGUCCGUAUCUGACGCUGAGGCGCGACAGCGUGGGGAGCAAACAGG